GGGGCUAUAGUAUAACCUGGACAGAACACCAGCUUGCGGAGCUGGAUAUCGGGGUUCAAAUCCCCGUAGCCCCG
rnacentral:tRNA from 1 species